rnacentral:rRNA from 1 species
CCGACACAAGUGUCCGUAGUACACUGCAGAAGU